AGUCAGGGCCAGUUAUUAUUGUCAGUUACCAGACAAAACAUCAGAGCGUAAAUGUGUUUAUAAAUUUCUCUGUAAAAACUCUACUGUAAAUCUAUUUAGUAAUUUAAACUUGUACCUAUUAUACAAUAUCUACAUACGAUGGACAGCGAAAGUGUUUUUCUCGGGUCGCUCAUCGUGAUGGGUUUGUUGUCUACAGUAGCCAACGCCUUCUUUAUUUUCAUCAUUGUUAAAUUUAAAAAACUGCGAGAAGAAACAACAAAUACAAUCUUCCUACAUCUGAAUAUUUUCCAAAUUGUAAUUUUGAUUGCUACAUCUUCAACGCUACUUCAACUUUUGAUAGCACAUGCAACAGACGGCGUUGAUGUUCGUGUCUUUUGUGCUUUUUACCAAAUUCUAAUCAGUGCCUUGUACGGUAAAUUCGCAAUUUUAUGUCUUCUAAUCUGCGAUAGUUACAUUAAAAUUUAUUAUAACAACAAGUAUCAAAGUUUUGGCCGCUGUAGUAAAUAUGUUCUUAUUGGAAUUUAUAUGUUUACUACAUUGGCUUCUUUUGUUACGAUACCAUAUUGUAUAUCAUAUGAGUAUUUGAAUUUUUUUAUUUUGUAUAUUACGAUAUCUGUCACAGCUCUCUUGGUUUUAUUUUUAGUUAUUAUUAACAUUAUACAUGCAAUUAGGAAAAGAAGGUUAACUAAUUACAAGUCGAGUAAUAUUGGUUUAGUGGUGUCAAAUAUUUUCGUUGUAUUGUCGUGUUCUGCUCUAAUAAUAUUUAUAUGUCAAACGGUGUUUGAUUACGAAGAUCAUCAAGUUGCUCUUGCAAUUUCAUGUUUAUUGGUUUUUUCAACUCCUAUAAUUAAUUUAAUCUAUGUUUAUUUUUAUGAUAGUGAUUAUAAUAUGUUUUUAAGACUAUGUUUUUCAUGUAAAUGUAACGAAUACAACAAUGUAAGUUUGGAAGAUCAGAGUGUAAAAGAUAAUGGAGCAAAUCAUGGCGUACUAAUGACCUAAAACUAAAUUUAUUAUUACAUAUGCGUACAAAUAACUGUUUUAUAUUUUUUUAAUUAAUAAAACUACUAAUUAAA